GAUGAGUAAGGCGGGACACGUGUUAUCCUGUCUGAAUAUGGGGGGACCAUCCUCCAAGGCUAAAUACUCCUGACUGACCGAUAGUGAACCAGUACCGUGAGGGAAAGGCGAAAAGAACCCCGGCGAGGGGAGUGAAAAAGAACCUGAAACCGUGUACGUACAAGCAGUGGGAGCACCCUUCGGGGUGUGACUGCGUACCUUUUGUAUAAUGGGUCAGCGACUUAUAUUCUGUAGCAAGGUUAACCGGAUAGGGGAGCCGCAGGGAAACCGAGUCUUAACUGGGCGAAUUAGUUGCAGGGUAUAGACCCGAAACCCGGUGAUCUAGCCAUGGGCAGGUUGAAGGUUGGGUAACACUAACUGGAGGACCGAACCGACUAAUGUUGAAAAAUUAGCGGAUGACUUGUGGCUGGGGGUGAAAGGCCAAUCAAACCGGGAGAUAGCUGGUUCUCCCCGAAAGCUAUUUAGGUAGCGCCUCGUGAACUCAUCUCCGGGGGUAGAGCACUGUUUCGGCUAGGGGGUCAUCCCGACUUACCAACCCGAUGCAAACUGCGAAUACCGGAGAAUGUUAUCACGGGAGACACACGGCGGGUGCUAACGUUCGUCGUGAAGAGGGAAACAACCCAGACCGCCGGCUAAGGUCCCAAAGUCAUAAUUAAGUGGGAAACGAAGUGGGAAGGCUCAGACAGCCAGGAUGUUGGCUUAGAAGCAGCCAUCAUUUAAAGAAAGCGUAAUAGCUCACUGGUCGAGUCGGCCUGCGCGGAAGAUGUAACGGGGCUAAAUUAUGCACCGAAGCCGCGGCAGCGAUAUGUAAAUAUUGUUGGGUAGGGGAGCGUUCUGUAAGCCUGUGAAGGUGACCUGUGAGGGUUGCUGGAGGUAUCAGAAGUGCGAAUGCUGACAUAAGUAACGAUAAUGCGGGUGAAAAACCCGCACGCCGGAAGACCAAGGGUUCCUGUCCAACGUUAAUCGGGGCAGGGUGAGUCGACCCCUAAGGCGAGGCUGAAAAGCGUAGUCGAUGGGCAACGGGUUAAUAUUCCCGUACUGGUGGUAACUGCGAAGGGGGGACGGAGAAAGCUAAAUCAUCCGGGCGACGGUUGUCCCGGUUUAAGCGUGCAGGUGGACUGACCAGGCAAAUCCGGUCGGUUGUUAACACUGAGGCGUGACGACGAGCCACUACGGUGGUGAAGUGAUUGAUGCUCUGCUUCCGGGAAAAGCCUCUAAGCUCCAGGUUACCAUUAAUCGUACCCCAAACCGACACAGGUGGUCAGGUAGAGAAUACUCAGGCGCUUGAGAGAACUCGGGUGAAGGAACUAGGCAAAAUGGUGCCGUAACUUCGGGAGAAGGCACGCUGGCACUAGGUGAAGUGGUUUACCCACGGAGCUGAAGCCAGCCGCAGAUACCAGCUGGCUGCAACUGUUUAUUAAAAACACAGCACUGUGCAAACACGAAAGUGGACGUAUACGGUGUGACGCCUGCCCGGUGCCGGAAGGUUAAUUGAUGAGGUCAGCCGCAAGGCGAAGCUUCUGAUCGAAGCCCCGGUAAACGGCGGCCGUAACUAUAACGGUCCUAAGGUAGCGAAAUUCCUUGUCGGGUAAGUUCCGACCUGCACGAAUGGCGUAAUGAUGGCCAGGCUGUCUCCACCCGAGACUCAGUGAAAUUGAACUCGCUGUGAAGAUGCAGUGUACCCGCGGCAAGACGGAAAGACCCCGUGAACCUUUACUAUAGCUUGACACUGAACAUUGAGCCUUGAUGUGUAGG
rnacentral:rRNA from 1 species